AAAGGAAGAAAAAAUAUUGUGGACCCCUAUGUUGCAAAUGUGCCUCAGUCCUCAUCUGAGAGGCUCUCUGGGGACACUGUCUUGCUGUCUCUGGUUUCCAUCUUGACCUGGCCCAUUGGCUUUAGCUGGAUUGAUCAUCUUGAGGCUCUUCAGUGAUGCUUACAUCUCUGAGCAAAGACUUGCUAAUCUAUCACGUCUUGUAAGAAUCCCCUCCCUCACAUGCUAAGGACUUCCAUUUGGACGCCUGACUCCCCCAUCACAGAGAGCUUGUGCCAGGUGCUCAGGAACCCCAGUGCCUGCUAUAUUUUCCUUCAGGGCAAUUGUCAUUACCUUGCAUUAAUUAUGUACUUAUUAUGUAUUUAUUUACAUUAAUUUUGUCCAUAUACCCUCCAGGUAGCAAACUCUACAAGGGGGGGGGGUGUGCUGCACCUGUGGCAUAUGGAAGUUCCCAGGCUAGGGGUAGAGUUGGAGCUGCAGCUGCUGUCCUUCACUAUAGCCACAGCAAUGCUGGAUCCAAGCUGCAUCGGCAACCUACACUGCAGCUCAUGGCAAUGCCAGAUCCUUAACCCACUGAGCAAGGCCAGGGAUCGAAACUGACACUAUGUUGGUUCUUAACCCAAUGAGCCACAAUGGGACUCCAAGAAGAGAUUUUUAUUACCUUUUUUCCCUAACAUGGAGAAGAUGUCUUAGGUGAACCUGUGGUGAGUUUGAGAACUUCUCAGGUUCUCUGUCUCUCAAUAUCAAAUUCCCAUCUUUUUCCAUUUCCCAAGUUUAGCAUUUCCCUGAUUCCUCUCCCGGUUCUUUUGGAGAAGUAAGCAGACCUGCUUUACACCUCUUCUUGAGGAAAAAAAAAUCAUAGCUCUUCACAGAAACCAUGAAAUUAGAUGAUGAACUCAGUGAAUACAAAGCAAACAGGCAGAGCUUGAGCCCACGAAGAAGACUUGAGUAAAAAGUAACAUUGCCCUGAAUUCAGAUGCCAGAAAACCUUGUAGUUGACUGUGUCCGCUGUGUUUUCCUGGGGCUAGCAGCCUGGGUCUGAUGGAUUAUGCCCAGUUGUAUUAAAAGUAUUGGCUUAGGGCUGAAUGAUCAUGAACAAGGUGGCUCUUUCUCCCAGAGCCCUCAGUCGACUUUCCAUCUGAGCAAACAUGAAGUCUCUUGGCUCUGGACCUUGUUUGCCUAUGGUGCAGAACAUGCUCUGUGCCUGGAGAUUGUGCUUUGGAAUUCUGAUGGGAUAUAUUUUGCCUUUGCCCCCUAUUCUCUUUCCCAUCUGGCUCCAGUUGCUUACAGAUGCUCUUAGAUUCAAUCACAACCUUGGUCAUUUUCUUGGACUUUCCUGCACACACCAUUAUUGCCAUGAGCAGGGGUUAACCACUCACUUGGCAAGCCUGAGAAAUCUAAAAACAGUUUUGGUAGGAUUCGGUCGUUUUGGUUUCUUGACCAGCUUUGGAAUAAUCACCCAAAGGGCUCUAGAAAAAGUGGCAUCACCAUGACUACUCUCAAUGGCCCAUUCUUGGCCUGGCUGGAGACCUAUAUCCUAGGCAGACUUCAUUCAGAACUUGGGGGUGAGGGUGGUUAAUCACUGAUGCUGGUGCAGGGGCUCUGCCAUAAGUGCUCCUAUCAUGGACAUUUGGGAAAAUGUCACAUCAAAAAGGACAAGAUUGCCAAGAGGAGGUCCUUUACCUUUUGUAGGACUGGUACUCCAUCUCUGAGAACCUUUAGCCCUUGUCUUGUCAGCAUCCUAAGCCUAUUUUCUCAUAACCUCCUUCAUAGCCACCUUUACCCAGCAUCCUGGUUCCCCUUUGGACUGCCUAGCUCCCUGUGUGAAACGAAUCCAUUGGUUAACAGAGUUGAUUAUCACAAUUUCCACCAUUCAGACUGAAUCUUGGGUGUCUGGGUAUUCUGCCUUCCUUGGUAGGUCCUUUGAUGUGUCUCUGUUGCCAAGUUCACUUCAAUUUGAAGCUUCAGCAUCCAGGGAACUCGGACAUUUAAAUGGAUUUACUCAGUGUCCAGCAGGAAAAAAAAAUCAAACAAACAAACAAAAAAACCUAGCUACAUGUUGUAUGUGAUUUCUCCUGGCUGAGUUUGGGUCAUUUGGGACCAGUGUUAAAAUACAAACAAGUAAGAGUUAACCCUUGAACAAUAUGUGGGUUAGGGAUGCACAUCCUCUGUGCAAUUGAAAAUCUGCACAUAACUUAUAGUCAGUCCUCAAUAUCUGUGGUUCCUUUGUCUCCUUGGUCCCUUCAUAUUCCUGAUUCACAUAUGAAGAUUAAACUGACAUCAAACUGUGCAGUACUGGAGCAUUUAUUCACAGGAAAAAAACAUCCAUGUGUGAGUUCUCUUGUGGUACAAUGAGUUAAGGAUCUGGUAUUGUCACUGCAGCAGCUUGGGUUGCUUCUGUGU
rnacentral:lncRNA from 1 species